GACCGUUCCCGUCGGGGGGCAGGGGCGGGACUCCCGGCGGAGGCGGUGCGGCCGGGCCCGAGUCAGGCUGGGGGCUCCGGGUCGGGCUGCUGGAGUCAGGGGGUUCCGGUCGGGCUCCCCGGGCGUGUGCGCCGAGAUAGCCCGGGGCCCCGGCCUGCUGGGAGAGAUAAGGCUGCGCAGGAAGUCCAAUCACCUGCUACGAGCACGGCCCGGCGCGGCUCCCGCCGGGAGCGCCUCCCUUCCUCUAGGGGUCUCCAGCCGCUAGGAGGGGCUGCUGGUUCCCGGGGCCUGACCGCUUCUGCCCUGCAGCCCCUAGGAGGCCCGCCCGCCGCCCGCCAUGGCAUCCUACUACGAGAUUCUGGACGUGCCGCCCAGCGCGUCUGCCGAUGACAUCAAGAAGGCGUACCGAAAAAAGGCUCUACAGUGGCACCCAGACAAGAACCCCGAUAACAAAGAGUUUGCUGAGAAGAAGUUUAAGGAGGUGGCAGAGGCCUAUGAAGUGCUGUCUGACAAGCAUAAGCGGGAGAUCUAUGACCGAUACGGCCGGGAAGGGCUGACUGGGGCAGGAGCCGGCCCCUCUCGGGCAGAAGCUGGUGGUGGUGGGCCUGGCUUCACCUUCAGCUUCCGCAGCCCUGAGGAAGUCUUCCGGGAAUUCUUUGGGAGCGGAGACCCUUUUGCGGAGCUCUUUGAUGACCUGGGCCCCUUCUCAGAGCUUCAGAACCGGGGUUCCCGACACUCUGGCCCCUUCUUUACCUUCUCCUCCUCCUUUCCUGGGCACGCUGAUUUCUCCUCCUCAUCUUUCUCCUUCAGUCCCGGAGCUGGUGCCUUCCGCUCUGUUUCAACGUCCACCUCUUAUGUCCAGGGACAUCGCAUCACCACACGCAGAAUCAUGGAGAACGGGCAGGAGCGGGUGGAAGUGGAGGAGGACGGGCAGCUGAAGUCAGUUUCAAUCAAUGGUGUCCCAGAUGACCUGGCACUGGGCUUGGAGCUGAGCCGCCGAGAGCAGCAACAGUCAGUCACCUCCAGGUCGGGGGGCAUGCAGAUGCGGCAGACCUCUGCUCCGCGCCCCACCGACAGCGACCUCUCUGAGGUGGAUGAGGACCUGCAGCUUGCCAUGGCCUACAGCCUAUCAGAGAUGGAAGCAGCUGGGCAAAAGCCGGCAGGUGGGCGGGGGGUACAACAGCAACAGCAGGGACGGCCCACAGCCCAUCACCAAGGUCCUGGGGGAACCCACGAAGGGUCCCGGGGUGAGGCGGUGAAACCCAGCCCGUCCCCAGAGGAGAAAGUCUCUCGGUGCCUCAUCCUCUGAACGCCAGGCCGGCCCGACCUGAUUCAGGUCUUGACUCAGAGCUGAGCAGGCUGAGUUGCAGGAGCCUGAACUCCAAGUCCCUCUACGAGUUCCCCUUCCAUGCCUGCCACAUUCCAGUGUGGACUUUGGAUUUUCUGUGCUCAGCCAGAGCUGAUAGGUCCCUGGGUGCAGCUGAUAGGUCCCUGAGGGGGGUGGGGUGUCUGGGUCACGGAGGGGUGUGUGGAAGCUGGAGGCACUUUGCAGAGUGGGAGUUCCAGCCCUGACCCGCCUGAGGGGCAUGAGUGAUUUGGGUUGAGACUUCUGUGCUCAGGUUCUCUGCCACCUGAAUUACCAAGGGUGUCAAGGAAGGAGGACUUGGCCUGGGGUGUGAUGCUCUGAGCCCGAGUUGGCAGCUCCUCUGGGGAGCAGUGCAGGUUGAGUGGAGUCUUCACUCUCCUUGUCCAGCUGCAGACCCUGGAUUCUGUGCAGUGCUGAGCUCUGACUGUCUCUGUGCUUCCCUUCUGGUGCUGCUCUCCUUCCUCCCACUCUGCUUUCUGCAGCUCUCUGCAGGCUGCAUCGCUUGCUUUCACUGCCACCUGGCUAGGACUCCUUUCUCCUUCUCUCCCCGAGAAGCCUCAAUGCUCCCAGGAAGACGCUGGGGCCGGUGGGGCCAUGAGGUCUUCAGGGGAGGCUAGCUGGGUGGGGCGGGAGCCUCUCAGCCAUCCAGAUUCGGAGCCGGAUCUACUCUUCCUCCCUUCCUCUUGCUGCCUCAGCCUGCCCCAGCUGCAGGACUAGGCAGAGAUGUGUUCUGAGCUGGAUGUCCAGGAUGCAGAGUCGAUUCACAGUUCCAACAGGACAGCACCCUCACCCAUGUGAUAGGAGGGGAUACUCCAUUCCUCCCUCACCCAUGCUGAGUGUAGAGCUGGGGUCUGGGCAGUGGGUGGGGGGCAUCAGUAGUCUUAGCUGGUGUACUCUUCCCUGGGUGUUUGCUGCUGUCUCAUGAGGACUACAAGUCCCAUAAUGCAAUACACCCAGCUGAAUUUCUGAUAGGACACACCCAGGAGAAUUGGUGCCUGGUUAUGGAGCUGUGCUUCUUGGGAUAUGUAGUUCCAGCCCUGACCAGCCUGUCACUUGCUCUGGAUGGAGAGUUGUUGUCUUUUGAUUUGUCCCUGGCACAGCAGCAAGGAUGUGGAUGAAGGGGGAAUGAUCCGAGCCUGGGUUCCCCUGACACUUCUUGCUAGCUCCAGGGUUGGACUGGGCAGGCCAAGACCUUGCAACAUCUGGGAGUUCUUUUCUUGUGGGCCAGCAGACAGAGUAGGCAGGGUGUGGCCCUGGAAGGCUGACGGACGUGGGCUGGCACAGCUUGGAAGGGAAAGCCACCCCUCACAGAGGCAUGUGGCUGGCACUGGCGUGUGCUGGAAACAAAGGGCAUGCUGCUGCUUGAAUGGCUUUCUUUGGUCUCUGACCCUGCUGUCCAUUCUCUCUCAUCAACAUCACAGGCAGCUGCCUCUCCUCUUCCCUACCUGGGGAGCCCAGGGUCUGGGAGGGGGUCUGGUGCAGUAGGGUGUUACCCAUCCCUGGAACACAGAGCCCCAGAGACCUAGCAAAGCCAACCAGGCUUGGCUCAGACCAAGGGAGAAACUGGUAUUCAAUAAAGCUUGAGUUGCAAGA